rnacentral:rRNA from 1 species
UGCUCGAGUGGCGAACGGGUGAGUAACACGUGAGUAACCUGCCCUUGACUUUGGGAUAACUUCAGGAAACUGGGGCUAAUACCGGAUAGGAGCUCCUGCUGCAUGGUGGGGGUUGGAAAGUUUCGGCGGUUGGGGAUGGACUCGCGGCUUAUCAGCUUGUUGGUGGGGUAGUGGCUUACCAAGGCUUUGACGGGUAGCCGGCCUGAGAGAGUGACCGGCCACAUUGGGACUGAGAUACGGCCCAG